AACGAACGUUGGCGGCGUGGAUGAGGCAUGCAAGUCGAACGCGAAAGCCGCAAGGCGAGUAAAGUGGCGGACGGGCGAGUAACACGUAAUCAAGCUGCCCAGAAGACGGGGAUAACCUCGGGAAACCGAGGCUAAAACCCGAUGGUCUGCCGGGGGCGCAUGCCCCUGGUAGUAAAUGGACGGGAUCCUCCGGGACCGUCUGCUUUUGGAGGUGAUUGCGGCCCAUCAGCUAGUUGGUAGGGUAACGGCCUACCAAGGCAACGACGGGUAGCCGGCCUUAGAGGGUGGUCGGCCGCACUGGGACUGAGACACUGCCCAGACUCCUACGGGAGGCUGCAGUCGAGAAUCUUCCGCAAUGGACGCAAGUCUGACGGAGCGACGCCGCGUGGAGGAUGAAGGCCUUCGGGUUGUAAACUCCUGUCACGAGUUAAGAAGGUGAUGCCACGAACAGUGGUAGCGCUUGACGUAAGCUCGAGAGGAAGCACUGGCUAACUCUGUG
rnacentral:rRNA from 1 species